rnacentral:rRNA from 1 species
UAUCGGAUCUGGGCGUAAGCGUGCGUAGGCGGUUCGUUAGUCAGAUGUGAAAGCCCUGGGCUCAACCUGGGAACUGCAUUUGAAACUGGCGGACUAGAGUUUAGUAGAGGGGAGUGGAAUUUCAGGUGUAGCGGUGAAAUGCGUAGAUAUCUGAAGGAACACCAGUGGCGAAGGCGACUCCCUGGACUAGAACUGACGCUGAGGUACGAAAGCGUGGGUAGCAAACAGGAUUAGAUACCCUGGUAGUCCACGCCGUAAACGAUGUCAACUAGCCGUUGGUCCUAUUUACAGGAUUAGUGGCGCAGCUAACGCAUUAAGUUGACCGCCUGGGGAGUACGGCCGCAAGGUUAAAACUCAAAUGAAUUGACGGGGGCCCGCACAAGCGGUGGAGCAUGUGGUUUAAUUCGAUGCAACGCGAAGAACCUUACCUACCCUUGACAUCCAUAGAAUC